CCACUGUUGUAAAGAUCUGGGUGUCUUUUCUGGCAUUGAUUGUUCUCAGCUAGUUACAGUGGCUCAGUUGCAUCGGAAAGGCAUAACUACUCUAUUGACGGUAGAUACUCUGGGGUAAAGAUGGGGUUGGACCCAAUAACUAUUAGGUGAAGAACCCAAUGAUGUAUUUGCAUCUGCUGGUGAACGAUGGGUCAAGGUUAACUAAAGAGUGUAGUCAAUAACUGUUAGGUAAGCCCACAUGGCUUAGAGAAUAAGUCAUUGUAACAUGCUUAGAGAAGUAUCUGAAUAAAGAGUUUUCCACACAUUGGUGUACGUGUCAUCAA
rnacentral:lncRNA from 1 species